rnacentral:rRNA from 1 species
AGUGAACGCUGGCGGUAGGCCUAACACAUGCAAGUCGAACGGCAGCACAGUAAGAGCUUGCUCUUACGGGUGGCGAGUGGCGGACGGGUGAGGAAUACAUCGGAAUCUACUUUUUCGUGGGGGAUAACGUAGGGAAACUUACGCUAAUACCGCAUACGACCUACGGGUGAAAGCAGGGGAUCUUCGGACCUUGCGCGAUUGAAUGAGCCGAUGUCGGAUUAGCUAGUUGGCGGGGUAAAGGCCCACCAAGGCGACGAUCCGUAGCUGGUCUGAGAGGAUGAUCAGCCACACUGGAACUGAGACACGGUCCAGACUCCUACGGGAGGCAGCAGUGGGGAAUAUUGGACAAUGGGCGCAGGCCUGAUCCAGCCAUACCGCGUGGGUGAAGAAGGCCUUCGGGUUGUAAAGCCCUUUUGUUGGGAAAGAAAAGCAGCAGGUUAAUACCCCGCUGUUUUGACGGUACCCAAAGAAUAAGCACCGGCUAACUUCGUG